rnacentral:rRNA from 1 species
UUGUCUUAUGUUGCCAGCACGUGAUGGUGGGGACUCGUAAGAGACUGCCGGGGUCAACUCGGAGGAAGGUGGGGACGACGUCAAGUCAUCAUGCCCCUUAUGUCCAGGGCUUCACACAUGCUACAAUGGCCAGUACAGAGGGCUGCGAGACCGUGAGGUGGAGCGAAUCCCUUAAAGCUGGUCUCAGUUCGGAUCGGGGUCUGCAACUCGACCCCGUGAAGUCGGAGUCGCUAGUAAUCGCAGAUCAGCAACGCUGCGGUGAAUACGUUCCCGGGCCUU